rnacentral:rRNA from 1 species
AGGAACAAGCCAAUAAGGAGCUGUGUAGAUGGAUUCAGAACUAAGUUGAUGGUUAAGUACCAAGCAGUCAGAGAGAAGACAGAGAAGAGUAAGUGGGAGAUAACACCCACUUAUAUGGAGAAGUUGGAGGAGUCAAAGAAGUACUCUAGGCAUUGCACUGCUUACAUGGCAGGUCCUGGUAUUUGGCAAGUCACUAGUGGGGAGUCUACCUACUGUGUGAACCUUGAUAAGUGGACCUGUGACUGCAAGAAGUGGGACCUAUGUGGUUGGCCAUGUAACCAUGCAGUUUCUGCCAUUACAAGAGUGAAGGGACAGCCAGAAGACUAUGUGCAUGAGUUCUUCAAAAAACCAUUGUAUAAGGAAACAUACAAGCACAUCAUCUACCAUGUACCAGGGCCUGACUGUUGGCCUAAGACACCAACUGCUGACAUAGAUCCACCAGUGUUCAAAGAGAAGAAGGGCAGGAAGCAAACAGCU